rnacentral:rRNA from 1 species
GACGAACGCUGGCGGCGUGCCUAACACAUGCAAGUCGAACGGAACUUCUUUAAAGGAUUCCUUCGGAAUGAAUUUGAUUAAGUUUAGUGGCGACGGUGAGUAACGCGUGAGUAACCUGCCUCUAAGAGGGGAAUAACAUUCUGAAAAGAAUGCUAAUACCGCAUAAUAUAUAUUUAUCGCAUGGUAGAUAUAUCAAAGAUUUAUCGCUUAGAGAUGGACUCGCGUCCGAUUAGUUAGUUGGUGAGGUAACGGCUCACCAAGACCGCGAUCGGUAGCCGGACUGAGAGGUUGAACGGCACAUUGGGACUGAGACACGGCCCAGACUCCUACGGAGGCAGCAGUGGGGGAUAUUGCGCAAUGGGGAAACCCUGACGCAGCAACGCCGCGUGAAGGAUGAAGGU